CUUGUAACAAAUAAUAGGAUUAGAUACCCUAGUAUUUUGAGCAGAAAAUGAUGAGUGUCAUAUACAAGAUAAAUGUUUUGUGUAUAAAUGAAAGUGUAAGCACUCCACCUCAAGAGUAACGUGGCAACAUGGGAACUGAAAUCAUUAGACCGUUUCUGAAACUCGUAGUGAAGUAUGUUGUUUAAUUUGAUGGUCCUCAAAUAACCUUACCACAAUUUGUAUAACUAUUGUACGAUAGUUACAAGCGUUGCACGGCUGUCUCCAGUCAAUAUUGUGAAACUUUGGUUAGAUCCAUUUAAUUGAC
rnacentral:rRNA from 1 species